rnacentral:lncRNA from 1 species
UGUCAGGGCCCAGCCCACACUGGGGUUGGUGCCCGUCUAUCCCUGACAAGGACACUCACAGUGACCUCCUUCGGACAUGUUUUUCUUCUUGCCUGUGGAUCAAUUCCUCCUGGCUUAGACCCCUCCAGGACUCUGGCACUGAUCUCUCUUGGUCUCGGAUUUGAGGAAAUAAAAAUAGAAGAGGAAAAACACAGAACUCUCCAAAGCUUUGGAGUGGCUGCAGCCAUCUGGAUGGAGGCAGCAUGCGCCUGGGCUGGAAGAGCCACGGUCCCUUGACUGAGUCUCGGUGCUUCUCCCCGUCCCUCUCAGACACGGCUCUCAUGGUGGACGAGAUGGGGCCGGAUCUUAGGCCCGGGAUUCUGCAGAAUGCAAGGCUCAGAGCUUGCCAAGCUCUGAGUGGCUUGGAGACUGGUGUGAGGACUGAGGGUGCCCACAGAUCACCAACCCACACCGGCAGCCUGAGUUGGAAGACAGACGUCUCGGAAGAGCUGGCUUAUUCGGGAAGCUCCGAGGAACCUUGCCUUGUCCAGCCUUUUGGGCACCCCCACUCUUUGGCUCACAGUCGCUCCCUCCAUCUUCACAGCCAGCACUGAAGCAUUCCUCACUCACUCUCAUUCAGACCUCUGCUCCCAAGAGUCUUGUCAUCUCUCUCUCUGACCGUCUCACGGAAACCCUGUGAUGACAUGGGGCUCACCCACAUAUUUCAGGAUAGUCUGCUCAUCUCAAGAUCCUGAACUCCAUCGCACCUGCAAAGUCUUUUGUGCAAGGUGUGAUAUAAUAAAAAAUAAAUAUUUGGUCCUGGCACAGAGUUUCUAAAACCCUUGGAAUUCCCUCAGCGGGCUGAUGGGAGCAUCG